GGCAACCUGCGAAAGAGUGAAGAUCUACACUGAACAAAUAUAUGGACACCAAGCGGUGAAAUUACAUCUUUGGGCAGUUGGCUCCUACCAUGCCAGCCUGCCGGGGGAUAACGAGUUACAGGGGAAAGAGAUGGAAGGGAGAGCUGGGAAGGAGGUUGGCAUUCCAAAGGACGCAGUCUGACAGCAAAAGGGGGAGGGAACUGUCGCCGAGCUUGAUUCGGCAGGGGGAGGGACUUAGCUCCGAGCGGGGCCAUCGUCGGGUGUGUGUGGGGGCGGGGGAGGGAAGGAUGAGGCCUGCCAGAGACGCGGGGGUAACGAUAUGACUAGGGGGUGGGGUCGCCUGUGAAGGUCGCAAACUGAGGCUCAGCAGUCAGAACGGUUGGCGGGCCUACUGUCUGGUCGUUAAUGGGGAAGGAAGGAAUGUGGAGGGAGGGGGAAAGAAGGGGAUUUUUUUUUUUAAGGGUUCAAAACGUAUCAGCUGCGAGCCGGGGAGGGAGGUGAGAGACAGCGAAGGAAAGAUCGGAGGGAGAGAAUGGAGCAUGCGAAAGCAGGGUGGAGCGGGGGUCAGAGAGAAGGAGGAGGAGGGUGGUGCUGUAGACUUUUGGGAGGGGGGGGAGGGAAGGAAGCGAAGGCACAGCCUCUGACAAGCGCUAACUUGGACGAGGAAGGCCGGGAAAGAAAGAGCGAGAGAGAAAAGAGAAUGGCGGGGAAUGAGUCCGGAGGUGGGGGUUGCCUCGGGUUGGGGUAAAGUUUGCGCAUGCGAGAAGUUUCCGCCCCUACCCGUCAGCCAAUCACGUGUCAGCCUCGCAGCAUCUCCGCCCGCGUCGAGCUGUCGAGGCGCGUGACACCCCUCCGCGCGUGUAAACCUCCCCCCUUCCCCCGACCUGCUUGCCCGCUGUCUCUCGUCACUUCACCAGCUCCACUUUUCCUCCCGCCAUUCUUGUCUGCGUACUCACUCCCGCGUAGGUCUGACUUCUUCACCCUCCUUCUUGUGAACACCGAAGGCUUAUUUUUUUUGUGUGCAUGUUGGUGCUUUCUUCUCUCACUGCCAAGCUCCACGACGACGCACAGCCGGCAUUUUUAUUCCUCUGCGCUGCUCGCAGGCAUCUCUGCCGAACGAACAUCUCCAGGAAAAAGGAAACACGAGGGUGCGGAAAAUUGCUGCUAACGACAUCAAAAUCAAGUAAGUUCUGCUGCCUGUCAUGUCUGUCUGUCUGCAUGUCUGUCCGCCUGCAGGUGUGCUUGAGUAAUGUCAUUAUAUCUAUUUUUUUGCAAAUGAAUUUAGUUUUAUUAUUGGAUUCUCAUUCCGGAAGUCUCCGCCCCGAGACCCAGACCUCGAAGCAUUUUCACCUGUACUCAGUUAUAGGUUAAACAAAAUCUUUAACGCCAUUUUGGUACAUUUUCGUCGCCAUGGUGACAGACACCUUGGUCCGUAGUUUAUACAACAAAGGUAAGGUUAACCCCGCGACAUGUGACUCCACACCGGCACAGGUCAGUCGGUUUAGUAGGAAAGUGCUUCUACCCUGAGGCCACUUCCCAUCUGGAGAAGAGGGAGAUGGAGGAGAGGGGGAAACAGAAUUACCUGGCGGAAACACCUGAUGACCAAACCUGCGAACAGGUGGCACAGGAGGUAGACUUAUAAUCUCGAGGUCCCUGUCCUGUGCAUGCUCAGUGUUGUGUCCAUGUUGUAUGUAUUGUAGCAUCAGACUGAAGAAGGUUCAGAUGUACCCUUGGCUCAGAACUAAUAUUAAUCAUAUUAAUUGUGUUAAUUAGUUGUAUUCAGUGUAGGAUAUCACAGACUUUGUCGCCUUCAGAGCUCGUCUGUAUUUCUGAAGGUGUGUAUUUACAGACAGAAGGAAUGUGAUCCUUCAUAUUUUAAUGUAAUGAAUUCAAACAACUAAUUUUUUUUUAAAAGAAGGCGCUAUCAUCUUUAACUUAUUUAAGCUAUAUGUAUCUUUGGCUGACCGCCAUGUCUGCUGAAUUUCAAAAGUGCAUCUUGUGUGCCAGACAACAAAAGUACAUCAGUCAUUACAUACAAAGAUAAUGUAACAAUUCUUUUAAUGCACUUUAACUUUCUUCGUCCAUCUCACCUUCCCAUGGGAUUAAUUACAUGCGAUCUUUGUGUCUUACAUAUAAAGUAGAAAGGUCAACAUAUCAUGUGACCCGAUGCGCUAAAAAAAAAGAGGUUAAGGCCAGCUUUUUCUGUUUCUUGUGAGGGCGGCCAUACCCUGUCCCUCACUGACUGACUGUCCCCACCCGUCUACAUAGUCAGGUGCAAAUUCCACAGAUGGAAAAAAAAGUAUGAUGCGUCUCAUGGGUAUGGAAAGGCUUGGGGUGCCCCUCCUACAGGUUCGAACUCUGUUCCUGUGAAACUGUUCGCUCGCCCUUGUAUAUGAGAACCUAAUUCUUAACCAUCCACCCUUCGGUUGGUGGGUUAAUCAUAUGCAGCGCCGACACCCUACAUAAAGUACAAGCUAAGAGCUAUAUUUACCUUCGGCAGGCGUUCAUGGAUAAGUAUGUCUAUGUUUGUUCUUCUUUCCCUUUCUCUUGUACUCAUGUCUCAAAGGACAGAUUUGCUUCACGAUAUCAUUCUUCAAUUUUCUGGAUUUCAUUUGCAAGCAAUCACUCUCCAAUCAUGUUUCGAACUUCGGAAACAUUUCAACCAGUUUGUCUUGGUCCGCUGCCCCAUUUCAUAAAGUCUAUGAUUUACCUUGUCCUAGAAAAAAACAGAGAGACUAGAAUUAAGGUCACGUGAGACUGCUACCUGGUUCGCCCCGCAUUAUUGAUUGCUACCCUGGGUACGUCGAUUAAUAGAGUCUGGCACAUUUCCGGAACCGUCUCGACGUUACAGGCUUGGGUAUCGACAGAUGAAGGAGACCGCCCGCCAGUCAACCUCCACUGCCAACAUCGUCAACUCCACUUUUUUUUCUCUCUCUCUUUUUCGUUUUUAUUUUUUUUAUAUUUUUUUUUCUUGACCGAGAAAAGCGUCUGGCACGGAGACUGACCGUCUUUCAGUGUCUGCCGGUCGGUGCGCGACAGCUGUUGUCUGUCUUCAGCGAGACUAAUCGAAUCUGUAGAUCGUGAAGUCACAUGAGGUACACCUGCUGCUAGGCCAAUGUGGAGAGUGUGGCGAGGGUUCGUGAAAUGUCUCAGUCAGCAAUUUUCCUCCUUCUUUCCUUUUUUUGGGGGGUUGGGAAUAGGUUCUUUCCCUCUCCCAUUGAGGUUGUAAGAGGGUUGUGUAAAAUGUCUAGCAUUUGUCUCCUGCGUAUAUAGCAUACUGCACGUUCAUCUAACACAGAUGGAACAACAUUGUAUUACAAACAGACGACAGAAACCUCGACCACAAAAUCCUCCUGGCUCUAAGAGUUUAAGGGUCGGCAGCAACAGCGCCAGACGAUAUGCUGACCAUCCUCACACUCCUCCCCCACGACAUUCCUCACCUGCCUCACGUGCUUUUACAAGCUAUGACAUUAUUUGUGUGUGUAGGGGAGAGGUGGGAAGGGGCGCGACAGUAGGUACCAUCAUCGCCGACGACCGAGCAUCCCAGGUUUCUUUUGCACACGGCACGAGCCGACUCCGCGAAGCCGAGUUCACUUGGCGCCAAAGAGCGGAACUCGUGCUCACAGACUAGUUGGGGCUGAGCCGCCUUUCUCGUGUGACAUGUGAAAGUGUCGUGGAUAGGGGCUAGGUUGUGUUGAAUAGCACUAACACGUGUGUGUGUUUGUGUGUUUGUGUGUUUGUGUGUUUGUGUGUGUGUUUUAAAGGUGCUGAGUUCUCAGAGCUUUUUGUUCUACAGGCUGGAGUACUUUAAAAAAAACUUUUAUCUAAUGCCUUUUAUCUCAUACUGAUAACUGUUGGAAAGGAGGGACAAAUUGGAGGCAAGAUGGUCGCCAAGGCAGCCACACCAUGACAUGUCUUGACUGCAGGGAUUGUUUUGUUUGUUUGUUUUGGAUUUUUUUUUAAACCCACGACAACUCUCGUUUACAAUGGUUAUUAUCUUUCUUCUUUCGCAAGGUGGAAUCUUGGAUCCGGGACUGGUUGUUAACACUAGCUAAUCCUUUUCUUUCUUUGUUUUAUUUUUAGUUUUGGCAUUCACUUUCCGCGGGUACCUUGCAUGGCACAGCCACGCUCUGUCCGCCAGCAAAACAGGAGUCGCGCCGUUUUGCACACGACACUCUGUACUGCAUGCGCUCUGACGUCACGCGCAUAAUACUUCUCCGUCAGAUGUGUACCGUUAUACUCUCGUUUCUUCAUCGGGUACUAACGCGAAAAAACUGAGCGAGCACACACAACAAUUUUAAAUUUGUUGUUUGCUUAUUAGAGAAAAUGGGGAGAUGUUGAUGCUUUGUUGAAGUUUCAUCGCCAUCUGAUCAAACAUAUAAAGUAUCAAUAAUAAAACGGGUGAAAAAGUGAGAGACCGAACAAAGCGAUGGAGAGAUGAACGUGUUGAGGCGUGCGAGGGUGUGCAUGGCCUGGUUAUCAUGCUUACGUCAUUGGACUUGAACGGUGAACUAAGCAGUCGCACUACAAGAGACGCCGCAACCCGGCAUGUCUGGAAAUUGAUCAGAAGCCAGCUGCUGAUACCUCCAUCCACACACCCAGCAGCUCCUCCACCUCCACCCUCAACCGUGCACGGAGUGUAGUGUGCGAGUGGGUGUGGCACGAGGUCGACAUCUAACGGCAUACGGCCACGCCGCACACACACACACAACACGACACCAUUAAUUCUACCCACCACACCACCACCACCUCUCCGCCACGACCCCGACUACAGUGUUGAUCGUGGACGUGAAUCUUUUGUUUGAGCGUUUGCGAGUGUGGAUGCGCGUUGCUGAGUGGGAGACAUGUUUGUUAUGCUGGCCGGCUGCACGGUUACUUUUGAUGGGGGCGUUAGGGGGAGAAUUUUUUUUUUUGGUCGUUGCGCUUCGGUUGUGGUUGUUGUUGUUGCUGUUUCUGGUGCAGCAGUGCUCGGAGCCUCUUUCGGACCGAAAAGCCGGUUCUCCUGCACCCGCCCUUGGAGCACGUCAUUGACCUGUGUCAUCCCGGGUGGGGUUCUCUACUUCCAGUUUUGAGACCACUGUCCCCUCUACUCACUUACCUACCCACCCACCCUGUUACUGUUGUCGUACGAAAUGACAAAUGCCACCCGUCAUACACCUAUACUCAUUACAAUCCUAGGCGCUUUUUGUCUCUCGUCGAAGUCGAGACUGUCACGCGCAGGUGAAUCCAUGUCACGCUCGGGGUCACAGGUCUGUCGGGUACUUUCUGGCUUUGUGCUGUGAUUCCACAUUUCCGAUCAAACUGCGGCGCGGAGAAGUUUUCCACAAAAUGAAGACGGUAUAGACUUCUAUCAUUUUCUCUCCUCACGUUAAAAAAAAAAAAAAAAAAAAGGAGCUCAAAGGUUGUCAUGGUAACAAGAUGCUGGUCUAAGAACGGCUUUUGAACGAAGGAGAAGAAAGAAACAAUGGCGGAACGAACUAUCGAACGAGUUAAUGAAUGGAAGAAACAAACAAACGAGACAGAAAGUCUGGGACACAAUCCCUGUGGAUUGGAAUUAUUACAACCAGGAGUUGUCACCGAAAAGGUCGGCGACAUCAUCGACGACUGAUCAACAUGAUAUCGACCCAACUGUUUCUUGGAUUCUCGUCUGCACUUAUAUGUCAAGGUAUUCCAGUUCACACCUGUAAUUGGGGAAACAUGAAAAGUGAAGAAUUGACGGGACAUUCUAGAAACAAUGGAAGGAAUAAAACCUUACAGAUUGCAGAAACCCGGAUGUCAGGUACAUUUCCUAGACCAUGAUGCACACGGUGUAGGAUGUUAAGUCUAUGUGACACACACCCAUGACACAUCCAUGUACCUAACGCUCGUCACGACGAGGGCUGUGACGUGCAGUCGCGGGGACACGUGACGUGACGGUUCCAAUGCGAGGGCGAAAGUGAUCUCAGUCUGCCAAGAAUAGAAUAAAUUGGAUGUGGACAUGAUCAGAACCGUUUGGCUGAUGUACGCUAGCCAACAAAUUGGAUAAACACUAGAACAAAGCAAAACAAAAUUACGGAGGCUAAGAAUAAAAUGAGAGUGCUCCAGAAACCCAUUAACCCUUUGCCUGCUGAUGAGUUUAGAACCCUGGCGAUUUCAAUCACACUCGGAAACUUCAAACAGUAUUUUUGUUCAGUCUUUAAAAAAAACAAACAACUAUAUAUACAAGUUGUGAUGCUUGCUUCCUUGCGCAAAGAGUGUGUAAAAAUAGAUAACGGGAUUACACUGAGGAGUAAAGAGUAACCUAGGAUGAGCCACUUCAGUCAUGACUUUGUCACUGUCAGUGCACCCGAGCAGACAUCUGUCACUGACAUGUUGUGCUGGCAAGCAUACGCAGGGAUAGGACGAAGGGUCAAAGGGUAAGGGAGGAAAAGUUCUCGUCCAUCAAAAGCACCCUGACCUAACUGACCUACUGGCCGAGCCUCAGGACCAGUCACACAAGUACAGUCUGUGGUGGUAUAAAGGACAAAUGUAGAUGAUGUGCCAGCUCUUCUGUCUUUCAAACAAAACUGUCGAGCCAGAUUCGCACCGGUUGUCGAAAGGAGGGGUGGGGUUACCACUGCCAUACAUCGAUUGAUGCGAAGGGCGUCGUCAGACGAUGGUGCACCCUGUCAGUCGUACCCCAUUAAGUAUUGCAGACAUUUACAGGAACAUAAACAACUGCCGAGACUGACUUGUAAAUCAGUGUAGUUGUACAGCUGUAAACUUUUACAGUCGUCUCUCAGCUCCCUCCUCACCCUUACCCACCUACCACCCACCCGCUUCCUUCACCACCCAGGACUUGCAGGCGGCUUAGUCUGAGUCUUUGUAAGUAAAUUAUUAUGUACAUCUAGACAAAAAUUUUAAAAAAAUUCCUCCUCCACCAGCACCACCACCACCAACAGCCCCACCAUCACCAUCAUCACCCAAAAUAAUAUUAUAUACAAGCCCUACUUUUCGACACUAAAUUCUGCUCUAAAAGCUAAGAGAAAUUUUUUAAAAGCUUCAAAAUACUUUCUUAAUCUUAAUAUAAAUUUGUGCGGUUUCAUGUUUUGAUAAAAAAAAAUCCUCCUCCUCCUCCUCCUCAUCAUCAUCAUCAUCAUCAAUAGUAAGUAUGUAUUAGACAUCUCCAUCAUUCUAUGUUGGAAUGUUCUCUUUGUGCUGAAUGUUGAAUUUGAUCAGCUGCUAUAAAUCAUCGUCGUCGUUGUCGUCGUCCUCGAGGUCAUCAUCAGUACUCCCUGCUACUGCUACUCGAUGAGGAUUCGGUUCCAAAGUUUUACUUUCAUCGUUAUGAGAAUUAUUUAUCGCCAAAAGGAACAAUUGAAACAUUUUGUUUUUUUCUGCGACUUAAAAUGAACUACAGUAAACAACCGGCUCCCUACUUCUUUUCCUUUAGCAUCAAUAAUAAUAAUGAUGAUGAUAAGAAGAAAAGAGAAAAACAAACAAAAAAAAGUUUCUCUGCCACGGCUAUGUGUGCAUGGAUCUGUGGCGAAUGAGAUAUAUGCACUUUCUGCACUUGAACUAUGACCUUCGAGCAAAUAAGUAACAGAUCCAGGGAUCCAUCCCUCAUUUUAUUUUACCUUCUCUCUCUCACACACACACCCACACAUCCCUUGUUAUUUUUCUACCUGCUUUUCUAUUCUAGCGACUUACUUUUCAGACCGACAGACAGCAGCUCGCUUCAAAUAGUCAUCAGCCAUCAGACAUUUUUAUUCAUCUACGGGUAUGGAGAAGGUGGCAGACACAGCCAGCAGCCCACCCAGACUACACCCGCAUUUUAAAGACCUGGUUGAUGAUUGUCAACAGCUUCUUUUGCACAUUUGUCUUCGCGAGAGAUAAAGUAACGGUCUCCUGGCCCUCCAGCUCACCCUGUGUUUUGUUAUCUUCAACAUUUCCAACAUUAUCUACUGCAACGAUAAACACACCUUCUACCUUCACUGGCAAUGAACAUCAUCUACCUACAAUUUCUUACUUUCAUUGACACGACGGGUGUGUGGGGUGGAGAGAGAGAGAGAUAGACAGACAGUUCCGUGUGUAAUUUAAAAAUGAAGCUUUCUUUGGUUUUGUUGAUGUUGAAGCAGUUCAGCUCGAGCCCACACACAACGAGGGCGCAGCCAUGUUGUCUACAUGCUCGUCUCCUAUUAAGAUAAUAAACCUGCGAUAAACAUAUGCUAACACGAUUGAUGGCUUUGUUUAAAGUUUGCCUCCUUUCUUGUAUUAUUUGUCCAGUAAUUAAUUUAUUUGUUUAUUUAUUUGUCUCUAUUUUGACCCCCGUACCUUUGAAAUGGUUUUGUGUGUGUGUGUGUGUGUGCAUCAAGCAGGUGCAAAAAUAAAACCUUGUUUGCCAGACUUUGUGCAUGUGAACAAGGGAGGAAUAAUCUCUCUUUCUCUCUCUCCCUCACUGGCUGUACAGCAGCGAUAACGCUCGCGGCCCUGCACACUGGCGGCGCGACAGCCAACACCUGCGUGAGUCAUUCGAGACGGUAGGAGGACAACAGUUAUUAACGAAACAGUCCAGGUCCAAUUCUUCACGACCUCUGACCUAUCAGGACGCGGUGGUUACGUGAAUUCGUCUGCUCUUUCCGUGGCUGGCGUGAGAUAAAGUCUGUGAAACUGAUAAUUUAUAAAAGCGCGUGCUGGCAGCUCCAGCCCACCCCACCCUGCUCCCCCUUUCUCCCCCCGACCUCACCUCCAGGGCAAAACCUCGCGCCCCCUUUUGCUGCCUGCGAACGGCUGUUCCAAUUUCCUCCCCCCACCAUACCCCAGACUGUAGCUGUCUCGCGCCCACGCCAUCUACUCAUGAAUAUUCACACCCUCGCUUAGCCCCGCCCCCUUGUGCGUCUAUGGCUGGCGGUGUAGACUCAAGUUUGCUCCCCCGUGCCGUACAACAAAAAAAGGUUUGAGGACCAGACACGGGCAUAAAGGCGUUUUAUUGAAUACAUCCUUUUCUUCUUUCCCUAAUUUCAGAGAUGGCUUGCAAAAGUGUACUUUAUCGACCAUGCCGAGAGUUAUCUGCACAAAUCGCUGAGGUGCUUUUAAGGAGAGAGAAAGA